UGCUGAAAUUAAUGCUUUAUCAAGCAUUUUCCCUGAAUCUUAUAUCCUUUUGUGCUGGUAUCACGUCUUGCAGGCUGUUCAAAGAUGGUUAUCCAAAACAGAGUUUGGAGUGCAUGGACCUUCCAACUUGAACAUUGAAUUUCUUUCUUUUGCAAACUGAAGACCUGUAAAACUGAGGCAGAAUUUGAGACCACAGCCAAGAAGUUCAACAAAAUGUUCAGACAACACCCAGCUGAGUGGCAGUACUUCACAAGACACUGGGAAGAGAUUGGUCACAUGUGGUCCGAUUACGGACGUUGCUUUGAGCAUUUGAACACUGAUACGAACAAUGUAA